rnacentral:lncRNA from 1 species
AAUUUCCAUUCCUUCCUCUAUUUCUCAUAUUGAAACCUGAAGCACAAUUAAGGUCCAAUCACUUGCCAUUGAUAUCGCAACUUUGGAGGGAGUUUCUACUGCAAUUGGUUCAAGGUAAAAAUUGGGGGGAACUAUUCAAAUUUCAAUCUUUUUUCUGUAAUUAAAAAUUCAACAUUAGGGUUUCAUGGGGUCUAUAUAAAGAGGGCUUUAGGAUUUGUGAUAACCACACCGCAAUUACAAUUGCAAUCUCAAUCUUUCUCAAUCCUAAGCUUUAUUCUUGCAAUUUCACUUUCAAUUUUCUGCAAUGGCUUUAACUUUUGAACCAAUUUCACAAAUUUCUUCAUCAAAACCAGCUUGGAACAUUAAGGCUAGAGUUGUUAGAUUAUGGAAAGUUUCUGAUUUCAACAGAAACACUUUACCAUUUUCUAUUGAAAUGGUGUUAAUGGAUUCUGAGGUUUUUAUUUUUCACUUACCAUUUUACAUUCAAAUUAUGAUGUUUUCUUAAAACUGUUGUUUUUGAAUAAGCUAAAUGUUAUUAGUUUUAAUUUUAUAAGCUAUCAAAAAUUAAGUUUUGUUUUAUGUUUAGUGCUAAUAUUUGUUGAGAUAUAGUUAAGGAUUAUGAGGUUCUUCUUUUUAAUUUUACAUUUUCACUAAUUUUGAACCUUAUAAGUAAUGAUUUGGUUUUACUUAUGUUGUUGAUAUAUAACAUUGUCACUCUAAAAAGGUGUGUUAUAUGUUUUGUGCUUAUAUUAUAAAGAUGAUGAUUAAAGUUAAAGAAUUAGUAAUUUUUAUAAUGAAUCAGAAAGCUAUUGUAUUAUGAAGAAUGGUGAAUGUUAGAUUAUGGUUUUAACUAUAUCUUGAAAACUAAUUCUAAAUUUUUGAACUUUAUAUAGGGGAGUAGGAUUCAUGCCUCAAUCAAAAAAACUCUAUUGUAUAAGUUUCAAUCUGAAAUUCGCGAAGGCAAAGUUUAUUCAUUUGAAAACAUGGGUGUUGCUGCUAAUGGG